rnacentral:rRNA from 1 species
UACGGGGGGGCAAGCGUUGUUCGGAAUUACUGGGCGUAAAGGGCUCGUAGGCGGCCCUCUCAGUCGGAUGUGAAAUCCCCAGGCUUAACCUGGGAACGGCAUCCGAUACUGAAGAUCUUGAGUUCGGGAGAGGUGAGUGGAACUGCGAGUGUAGAGGUGAAAUUCGUAGAUAUUCGCAAGAACACCAGUGGCGAAAGGCGGCUCAGCUGGCCCGAUACUGACCGCUGAG